CCUAUGGGGUGCAGCAGGCGCGAAACCUCCUCAAUGCACUCACGUGCGAAGGGGUUACCUCGAGUGCCAUCUGAAGAAGGUGGCUUUUCCUUGGUCUAAAUAGCCUAGGGAAUAAGAGGGGGGCAAGACUGGUGUCAGCCGCCGCGGUAACACCAGCCCCUCGAGUGGUGGGGAUGAUUAUUUGGCCUAAAGCGUCCGUAGCCGGCCGGGUAAGUUUCCCGUUAAAUCCAGCGUCUCAAGCGUUGGACUGCGGGAAAUACUGCCCGGCUAGAGAGUGGGAGAGGUAAGCGGUAUUCUGGGGGUAGGGGCGAAAUCCUUUGAUCCCCGGAGGACCACCAGUGGCGAAGGCUGCUUACUAGAACACGUCUGACGGUCAGGGACGAAAGCUGGGGUAGCGAACCGGAUUAGAUACCCGCGUAGUCC
rnacentral:rRNA from 1 species